rnacentral:rRNA from 1 species
UACGGAGGGUGCAAACGUUGCUCGGAAUCAUUGGGCGUAAAGCGCACGUAGGCGGCUCGUUAAGUCGGAUGUGAAAUCCCUGGGCUCAACCCAGGAAGUGCAUUCGAAACUGGCGAGCUUGAAUAUGGAAGAGGGUCGCGGAAUUCCCGGUGUAGAGGUGAAAUGCGCAGAUAUCAGGAAGAACACCCGUGGCUAAGGCGGCUCUCUAGUACGGUACUGACGCUGAGACGCGAAAGCGUGGGGAGCGAACAGG